rnacentral:rRNA from 1 species
GAUGAACGCUAGCGGCAGGCUUAAUACAUGCAAGUCGUGGGGCAGCAUGUCCCGCAGCAAUGCGGGAUGAUGGCGACCGGCAAACGGGUGCGGAACACGUACACAACCUUCCUUUAAGUGGGGAAUAGGCCAGGGAAACUUGGGUUAAUACCCCGUAAUAUAUAGAAGCGGCAUCGUUUUUAUAUUAUAGCAGCAAUGCGCUUGAAG